AUCCAUAGUCGGUUCACCAAUAGUAAUGUUCACUUUUUGAACCAGCAAGAGACCUUCAAUAAUGUGAUUUAGCCAAUAGGAAAGCCUCUUAUGCAUCAUAUUUAGUGCCCACCUGAUACAGUUUUUGGAGCCAGCUUUUAAGAGUUUCUUCAACCACUGAACUAGAAGAGUUCGGUAAACCAAAAAGAAAAGCCAGCGGCCAGCUUUUGAUUUUUUUUAACUUAGAAAGCUUUACGAUCAAUUAACUAUCAUGGUAACGACCAUUAAGUGAAGUAACAGCCAUUAUAUAACAGAUUUUGGGGUACCAUCGCCCCCAUUAUAUAACAUAUGGAAUUUUAUUUUGCAUGGGUAAAGGCCCUUACCACCAUUACAUAAUGGUAAAGGGCGUUAUCCAGAGAAUUUUCCCUUAGGUAACAACUGUAACGGCCUUUAAUAUAUAAAGCUUGCCUUCUCCGGUAGGCUGCUCAUUUCUUUCUUGUUUUCUCCUUAAAUUAAUUUCACUUUUUACUUUUACCAAGAGCAAAUAGAAAGUGAUGG
rnacentral:misc_RNA from 1 species